rnacentral:rRNA from 1 species
CCUACGGGAGGCAGCAGUGAGGAAUAUUGGUCAAUGGGCGGGAGCCUGAACCAGCCAAGUAGCGUGAAGGAUGACAGCCCUAUGGGUUUUAAACUUCUUUUAUAAAGGAAUAAAGUGACCCACGUGUGGCGUUUUGUAUGUACCUUAUGAAUAAGGAUCGGCUAACUCCGUGCCAGCAGCCGCGGUAAUACGGAGGAUUCAAGCGUUAUCCGGAUUUAUUGGGUUUAAAGGGUGCGUAGGCGGGUGGAUAAGUUAGAGGUGAAAUCCCGGGGCUCAACCUCGGAAUUGCCUCUGAUACUGGUCGGCUAGAGAGUAGUUGAGGUAGGCGGAAUGCGUGGUGUAGCGGUGAAAUGCUUAGAGAUCACAAAGAACACCGAUUGCGAAGGCAGCUUACCAAGCUACCUCUGACAUUGAGGCACGAAAGCGUGGGGAGCAAACAGGAUUAGAUACCCGUGUAGUC